AAAAUAUUAACCAUGAUGAAUUCUUUUUUUUUUUUUUUUUUAAAUAGCAACAAAAGCAAAGAUUUAUUGAAAUGAAAGUAUACUCCACAGAGUGGGAGCGGGCUCAAGCAAGUGGCUCAAGAGCCAUGAUGAACUCCACACUAGUGGAGUCAGGAAUGCUUUAUAUGUUUCUAGUCAAAUGCUUUACUAAUCCAAAAGCCUUUGUUUCAUUGUAUUUUCAUUUAUAUUGGCUAGUCUAGGGAAAAUUACUCAAAGUUUUGAUUAAUAGUUGGUAUUUAAGCUUUUUAAACAAAUGCCUAAGGAAUCAUUGAAUGAAUGUUAAUAUUCUGUAUAUUUUAAUACUGAAGUGUGACAUGAUUUUUCCCUGAGUAUUGUUAAAUUAAGUUUAGCCUAAAGCUCCCACCUUACAUAGUUUAAGCUUGGCCUAAAGGUUUCUCUGUACACAGUAAACUGUAACCUAACUGGAUGUGUAAAUAGACUUUAGCCUACUCUUGUGCCAAUCACUGAGUUUCACCCUAUGAAAGGCAACCAGUUGUUCAACCUGUAUUCAAGUAAGGCAGACUCUGAGCUGUAACUGAUCCAUCUAUUGCUGUACCUCACUUCCAUUUUCUGUGUGUCUCCUUCCUUUUUCUGUCCAUAAAUAAUUUUUGAUUGUGCAGCAGCACCAGAGUCUCUUUAAACCUAUUCUGGUUCCAGGACUGCCCAAUUCUUGAAUCCUUCUUUGCUCAGUUAAACUCUGUUAAAUUUAAUUGUCUGAAGUUUUUCUUUUUUAAUAGUAUCUUGAAUUAGUCACAUGUUCACUGAUCUAACAAAGACUAUAAAUUAGAAAAUUAACUAGUAUCAGGGACAUAUAGUAUUUAUAUAAUUCUAAAUUGUAUAGUAAUGUUUAAUAUUAUGUAGCUUGCAGAUUUUUAUCCAAUUUUAAAAAUCAGGUCUUUAGAUUUUGAUUACUUUCAUUUUCAAAUUUCUGAUGAAAUAAUUUUUGUAAUUGGUAAUUAUUUUUAUGUGCCAGGGAAAGAAAUUGUACAAAUAAACUUUCAGGAAUGUGAUGAAACCAUAUAACAUCAAAGGAAAAUCAGUGCAUUAAAAAGCUAAACUUUUAGCUGUUCCUGUUUAUACAUGUGACUCAAAGAUCUUUUCCAAGUAAAAAUGGAUAUUUAUUCUGAAAGGGUACAUAGGGGUAUAUAUGUUAAAUAGCCACCUUUUAGUUUAUUUGAAUCAAGAUUCAAAUAGAAUUGUAAAGGGACAGAAUCUUAUAAAGAACAUCGUGAAAUUAACUUCCUGUCCAUUGAUUUGUACAGCUUGGAUGGCAAGUGUUAAAAUAAUGAUUAUCUAGAAAUUGUGGAACCCUAUUUUAUGAUACUAUUAUGUAAGAGAGUGUUGGCAAGUUAUUUAAUGGAUCAGGUUUAAGUCAUGUGAGACUUGCAAAUAUUUGCAUAGAAACUGAAUCCCAGUGGUGGUAUGUGGAAAUAAUUUUUUUUAAGAGUCUGUUUAGGCUAUUUAAAAAUUAUUUAGUAUCAGGUUUCAGAUCCCAUUUUAGAGCUAAUGUGAAUUUGAAAACAUGCCAAGCUUUAUGUUGUAGUUUACAACUUUAGUCUCAUUAGAAUCUAAAUCCUGCCUAGUGAGUUCUGUGAAAAAAUUUAAUGCAGCAUAACAGACAGAAAUGAUUAUCGUGUACUUGCUGAAAUAAAUGAUACUGGUUCUUCCUCUACAUUAGUGAAAAAAGACUGAGCAAGGGACUUUUAUAAGCGAAACUAUACAUUUGAACACUCCAGAAAUUCUCAUUUUAAAAUUAGUUCUCAAAUAAUGAGACACAACUACAAGUUUAUUAUAUAAUCAAAACACUACAUGAAAACAGGAAAAUUACUAAAAUGGUACUAUAAUGUUACUUGUAUUUGAUUAUUAUAAGCUGCUGGGAAAAUGGGAUUAAUACUGUAUUAAAAAGAAGAUAUCUGCCCACUCAGUACCAAAAACUUCCAGAUGUAAAUAAAAACUUGUGUAAAACAUAAAACCAUAAAAGUAGUAGAAAAAAUAUGUGAAGUAAAUGUAGAAUAUUAGAAUGAUUCCCAUUUAUAGCAGGGUACCUUAAAUAAUAAGAAGACUUGAUUUAAUUAUGUGAAAAUCCAUAGGGAGAGAAUAAAAAUUGAAAGCAAACUG